rnacentral:lncRNA from 1 species
CGACGACUGCCACGGAGAGCACCGCGGGCUCCCUGCCCCGCAGCUACGUGUACGAUGUCUGCUUCGCCGCCGGGACCGUCAACAGCGAGUUCCGCUUCCUCAGACCCCUCUUCCCCUGCUUCCCCGCCGGGCUGCCCCCCGGCCCGGGCCAACAGCGGAGCUCGGUGUGCUCGCAGGAUGCGGCCAACCUCGGGGGCGAAAGCGACUGGAUUGCACAGGGCAGUGCUCCCCUCUCUGAAGAUACGGGGCCCAGAGCUGCAGAUGCAGUUUGCUCUGCAAACAGGGAGCUGGAGCUAAAUGUCAGCUCUGAGCAAAACCCUUGGAUUGCCCAUCAAUAAGUGAAGAGAAGGACAAGUUUGUCUGUCCUCAAAGGGAAAAGGGAACAGACCAAACACCUCCCUAAAAGGUACCACGGAGAUGGAGCCUUCUCUGUGAGAGUACUUUCCCCUUGGGCAGUACUUUAUUCAUGUAGGUAUUUUGUAAUUGUGAUGUCGAUGGAGGAGGAACCGUCCUGCAUGUUGAUUACAUAAUUAUGUAUGAUUGUGAGAGUGCUACUGCUUCUACGUACUUCGAGAAAUACUGAAAACUGGCAGCAGAUCUUUAACUUCUUGUUACACCAUCUUUUCUGGGGGAUUUCCAUUUGUGCUUUGUUUCUUUUUAUGGAGAGAGCUUUGUAAUAAUAUCUUAAUUUUGUGCUGUGUAUUCAGCAGCAGGCGAAACAGGUAUUAUGCAGAAUUAAGUGGUGCUUGCAAAAGAAUUUCAUACUAAAUAAGUAGAAGCUGUUCACAUUUUGAGCUGCUGGCACUGGCACACUUGGCAUAUUUGACCAGUUUAGAGGUUCUCCUAAUUGUAGAGAGUAGGCUUUGAACAAUGUAUUCUUCCUUCCUUUCUUUCUUUUUUUUUCAUAAAGUUGAAAUUACCAUUUUGCUAUUUUUAAAAUCCAAUAUAAUUAAAAGCAUUGUUUGUGUUUUUUCAGUAAAAUAGACGAAGACUAUUACAAUUAACUUAGGGCACUGUAGAAUCUAGGGUGUCAAGAAGCUUUCUGGUUUUGUUUUGUCAGUCGGUGUUAAUCUAUAAAGUAAUGUGAGAAUUCCUGUUGCUGAACCAUUUUAAAGAGUUUCAAAUGAGUGAUGAGAGAAAACAAUAAAAUCUACUUGGAACUCCCUCGGGUGAGUGUG